AUGGAAAGCAUGAAAAGCAACCUAUGUGUGUUAAAGCAACAUGAAUAUUCGAUUGCUGUGAGACUAUCAAGGUCACAAUCCCACAGCAGAUUAUGAAGAAGUCAUGAAUAAACGUCUAAAACUGUUAACAUGAGCAUGAAAUAGAGAAUUUCCUCUUUUGUUAAUGUCUGUGGGCAUUAACCUUAAAAUAAUGUAUUUAAUCGGAGUUACAUUUUAAUGCUUCUAACACAGAAGCCUUUUCGUGUCGCUUUGCACAAUUGUGUUAUGUGGGGGUGUCACAUUUUCAUGGCCAUUGAUUUUCAGGGCAGAAAAUAACUUUAUAUUGCACCAGGGGAAGCCUGUGUGGGCUCCGUUUUUAAAGCAGGAGUCAACCUUGAUAUAAUAUUUAAGACUAAGCCAUGGUGUUGUCACAAGUGGCUCGUAAGACUAAACCAAGUAGCAGUGAGAACAGAAGGUCACAGUUUGGUACAGCUCUGGCAGUUGAACGGUUGACGGUUUGGUUCAAUUUUGGCUCUCUGAGAUAUUCUUCAAGUGCAUCUCCGAACUCUACAUGAUCCAAUCCUAUAUAAAGAAGUUAUAUAUCCAGAAAAUAGAGACAAUAUCAAAGGAGAAUUAGAAAUCAAGUCUAGAAAAGCUCAACUACACUUAGUAGAAGACAUGUUUGCAUAAGUAAGAACAAUGGCAAUCAGCUUGAAGUGCUGUUGCUCUGGCAGUCUGUCUUUAAGUUGUCGUUUCUCCUGUACUCUCCUUUGUUUCUCUACUUCUCCAGGUGGGUGUCAGAGCUGCUGUCAGAGGUUACCACGUGGUUUGAUUUAAUGUAGCGAACAGACUCAAAGAUACAAAUAAAAAGAAAUUUAAAAAAAUAAAAAAAACUCAAACUGUCUUAUAAAAAUUUGAACGAACAUAAAUUUGGUAUUGACCCUUGCAUUUCUGCAUUUCAUAUCAAGUAUCAUAUUGCAGGGAGAGAAAGUAUUGCAAAACACUUUUUUUAAAAUAACAUGAUGCCCUUAAAAAAAUGUCGACAGUGCCCACUAUCUCUUCAGGGACGUUUUUGGUGCCCCGUGUGAGGCACCAGAAACUACACACGUAAGUUUCUCACAUCAGCUUUAACACGACAGGGCUAAGCCCAGACCUGAUGGAUAGUCAGAUUUAUGUGAAAAAAAAAAAAAGAGGUUGACAGCAGCUUUAUUAGUGUCUCAUGUUUUUGCCUUGCCCUGCUUUGUUUCCCUCCCUCAUGGACGAGGAAAAUAACUGAGGGUUUACAGUCACAGUCACCUGUUAAGAGUUUAGUAAACUGCCUGAAUCUUUAAUUCGAGUAAGAUGGUGUUCUUGUUAUCCUUUGAUGACAAAUAAUACAGACUACAACUGAAGUACAACAGCAGAAACAUUUUGCAUUAGAGAAGGAUUCGACAAUACACAGAAUAAUUGCAUCCUUGAAAACGAACACGGUCUAAUCAACUCCUCUCCGACUCAGUCACUGGAAAUAUUAAACAUUUAAAUGCUUACAAAGGCGGCAUUUAUUUAUUACAGAACUUUUGGGUUGCUCUGCAUAAUGCAUGAUCAUAACUCUAAUCCUGCUUACAGAGAGAAAAUAUCUGCCAAGCUCUUCUGUGUUUGUUUUAUGCUGCUGCCGCUGUCUCUUGUUUACAUAAAUUACAUUGUGUUAUGCUGGGAGGACAUUGUGUGCAUUCGAAGAAAAACAAUUAUACUAAAAGCAAAAACCUCUAUGACACCAUCUUCUAUGCAAAACACACACAGGCCGAUACAAACACGCACAACUCCUCUCAGGCAGUCUCCAUCCUGUAUCCUUUGUGUUCUCUGCAAACAUCGAGCCAAUUGAUUGGCUAAGUGUUUCCUGGCUACCACACCUGGACUGGCUGCAUCCUCUCUGCCAUGUUUGUUCAUUGUAACACAGGUUUCACACUGAGAUCAGCCAAAUGAUAGCUGCCCGGCUGUGCUUUAAUAAUUAUACACACAGAUGGUGACCGGAUUGCUGCUGCUGCUCUCCUGCUCGGGGGUGGCAGCGUCUGAUCUUCACUCUUGUUACUUUUACAAGCUCUGUGAUUUUACUGUCUGCGUAUAUGCAAGCCAUGCUUUUUUAAGAGCAUCAAUCACAUUUUAUAGUCCCAAAUUUAGAUUCUCAGAGCAUUUAUCACUCAAACAAACCCUGUGUUUGGAUGUUUCAGCCUGUACUGAAGCUGGUUGGCGGCUAAAAAAUGAUGGUAAUACAUAUUGUCUAUGUCCAGUUGGUUACCAGAUAGCGGUAUAAGAGGACAUGGUAGUUUCCAAAAGCUCAUAAAUCAAUCAGAUAUGAUAACAGGGUUAGUUAUUAGUGGGGUUGCAAAGGGGUGGAAAAUUUUCUGUAAAUUUCUG